rnacentral:rRNA from 1 species
GACGAACGCUGGCGGCGUGCUUAACACAUGCAAGUCGAACGGAAAGGCCCUGCUUUUGUGGGGUGCUCGAGUGGCGAACGGGUGAGUAACACGUGAGUAACCUGCCCUUGACUUUGGGAUAACUUCAGGAAACUGGGGCUAAUACCGGAUAGGAGCUCCUGCUGCAUGGUGGGGGUUGGAAAGUUUCGGCGGUUGGGGAUGGACUCGCGGCUUAUCAGCUUGUUGGUGGGGUAGUGGCUUACCAAGGCUUUGACGGGUAGCCGGCCUGAGAGGGUGACCGGCCACAUUGGGACUGAGAUACGGCCCAGACUCCUACGGGAGGCAGCAGUGGGGAAUAUUGCACAAUGGGCGGAAGCCUGAUGCAGCAACGCCGCGUGCGGGAUGACGGCCUUCGGGUUGUAAACCGCUUUCGCCUGUGACGAAGCGUGAGUGACGGUAACGGGUAAAGAAGCACCAGCUAACUACGUG